rnacentral:lncRNA from 1 species
CGGCGAGCAAGGCCGCAUCGUGCAGCACAAGAGGCAAAAGGCGAGGACCCGAUGCGUCCCGGUGCCAUAGCCAAUCCAUAAGACGUGCACGGCCACGGCGCGCGGCCACACCAAAGGCGGCGCACGCGUCAAACUUGAUGCCUCGGGCGUCGCAGAGGGCAAAGAAGCGCCAACGGCCGUGUGCCGCGGCAGCGCCCUCGACGCAGCCCCCCGCGUAACCAGUUGUCCAGGUGAACGGACAAUAGGGCAUCGGAGGUGCGUACAGAGCGCGAUGCUCGGCUGUCGACUUGGCGAGUGUGUCGAUGAGAUAGGCAAAGUAGUUGGGCUCUUUGACCCUGGCGGCAGCAAUCCAAUCAUUACGUUGCGGCGCGUCCGUCUUUAGAUGGCGCGCCACAUCGGUGCGACCAUAGGGUCCGAUCAGGCGCACCAAGUGGCCCGGCCAUCCGUGCAGGUUGCACGAGAGAAUGACAUUCAUGGUGGCGACAGAACCACAUGCGAGGACCGCACGAGCAAUAUGUUGUGCGAGGCCACACUCGGCGCUGCAUCUGCCUUGGCACCAGUAUGGGUUAUCGGCAUGGGAACAGGACUUGCUCGCCACAUCAUCCCCAGCAGCGGCGCGAAGGGCAAGACGCGACCAUUCGACGUCGAGGGCGUGCGUCACGGCCUCGGGCGUGUCCGAAGCGACAAGAGCAACGAUGGCCUGGCCUCGGGUGGCACCCGCAUUGUCGCGGCACCAUGUAUAGACAUUGUCGAGGCGUGACCGCGGCCAAGUGUCGGGCCGCUGUGCAAUCCACUUGGCGAUGGCCGAAGCACAGACCACGCGCCCCGUAGGCCACUUGGGGCAGUCCACACGUCUGCCAUCGCCGAUAUUAGGCGCAUCGAGGUCGCUGUGCGGAUAUGUGCCCAUGGCGGUCGCCUGGGCGGGCGAUGGAUGUUCGAUCACCUCGCGCCACAGCCGACAGACACCUCGCGCGGCAAACCGCCACCGUGGGUCGAGAAAGGGUCGCGGGCGACGCGGACGAGCGCGCCAAAGUUGGACGCCGCUGCCGCCGACCCUGGGCGCGGCGCCAUUGAGGAUCAUGCACAAGAGUUCCAGGGGCAGUUGCUCGAUGUUCAUCUCACGUUUGCUCUUUUUUCUG